CAUGAAUCAACUCUAUUGGAGGCUAAGCGUUUUGAGCUUAGUAGGGUGGUGGUGGAGAUGCAUAAUUGUAAACUGGUGGUGGAGGUGACUUCACAGGUGGGGGAGGAGAGUGGUAGUAGUAUGGAGGUGGUGGGGAUGGUGAUGGAGGUGGUGGGGAUUUGUAGUAGUACGGUGGUGGAGGCGAGUAGACUGGUGGGGGAGGAGAGUGGUAAUAGUACGGAGGUUGAGGAGAUGGUGACGGAGGUGGUGGGGACUUGUAAUAGUAUGGUGGUGGAGGUGAGUGGACAGGUGGGGGAGGAGAGUGGUAAUAAUAUGGCGGUGGAGGAGAUGGCGACGGAGGUGGUGGGGAUUUGUAGUAGUAGGGCGGGGGAGGAGAGUGGACUGGUGGUGGUGGGGAUUUGUAGUAGUAUGGAGGUGGAGGUGGAGGUGAGUAGACUGGUGGUGGUGGGGAUUUGUAGUAGUAUGGAGGUGGAGGUGAGUGGACUGGUGGUGGCGGGGAUUUGUAGUAGUAGGGUGGAGGAGGAGAGUGGACUGGAGGUGGCGGGGAUUUGUAGUAGUAUGGUGGUGGAGGCGAGUAGACUGGAGGGGGUGGUGACUUGUAGUAGUAAGGUGGCGGAGGUGAGUAAACGGGAGGAGGGGGUGACUUGUAGUAGUAAGGUGGUGGAGGUGAGUAGACUGGUGGUGGAGGUGAUUUGUAAUAGUAUGGGGCAGGUAUGUGGACUGGCGGUGGUGGUGACUUGUAAUAGUAGGGAGGUGGAGGGGAUGGUGAAGGUGGUGGUGGAGACUUGUAGUAGUAUGGCGGUGGGGGUGAAUAGACUGGUGGUGGAGGUGAUUUAUAAUAGUAUGGAGGUGGAGGAGAUGGCGAUGGAGGUGGCGGAGAUUUAUAGUAGUAAGGUGGUGGAGGAGAGUGGACUGGUGGUGGAGGUGAUUUGUAAUAGUAUGGCGGUGGAGGAGAGUAGACUGGUGGUGGAGGUGAUUUAUAGUAGUAUGGCGGUGGUGGUGAGUGGACAGGUGGUGGAGGUGACUUGUAGUAAUACGGUGGAGGAGAAGAAUAGACCGGUGGUGGUGGAGAUUUAUAAUAGUAAGGUGGUGUCGGAUACUUUAUUGGAGGUGGAGGGGAUUUGUAAUAAUAGGGUGGUGGUGGUGAGGGUGAAGGAGGUGGUGGAGAUUUAUAGUAAUAUGGUGGUGGAGGUGAGUGGACUGGAGGUGGUGGAGAUUUGUAGUAGUAUGGUGGAGGUGAGUAGACAGGUGGGGGAGGAGACUUGUAAUAAUAUGGUGGUGGAGGUGAGUAGACCGGUGGUGGUGGGGAUUUAUAGUAGUAUGGUGGUGGUGAAUAAACCGGUGGUGGAGGAGACUUGUAGUAGUACGGUGGGGGAUGUGAAUAGACUGGUGGAGGUGGAGACUUAUAAUAGUAUGGGGGAGGAGAGUAAGUUGGUGGCGGUGGAGACUUAUAGUAAUAUGGUGAUGGAGAUGGUGGUGGCGGAGACUUAUAGUAAUAAGGCGACGGUGGGUAUUUUACAGGAGGUGGGGGAGAUUUAUAAUAAUAAGGUGGUGGGUAUUUCACAGGAGGUGGUGGAGACUUGUAAUAAUAUGGUGGAGGUGGAGGAGACUUAUAAAUGUAAGUUGGUGGUGGUGGAGGCGGUGACUUGUAGUAAUAAGGAGCGGGGGUAGGCUCAGGCUUGGGCUUCUCACAUUCCUCAUAAGGAGUCUUAGGAGCAUAAGCAAAUGGCUUGGCGUAGAGCACAACUUCAUAAUCAGUCUUCGACUUGACUUUAAGUUUGGCUCCCUUUUUACCCCAGUGCAAGUCAGUGGGAAU
rnacentral:lncRNA from 1 species